rnacentral:lncRNA from 1 species
AGUAUUUGGAAAAGAUUCCUGGGUCUGUAAAUAUGAGCAUGUUUUUAAGUGAGAAAAAAAAAUAAACUUAAACCAUUCUCUCUGUUUAUAGGACUGUGCUUAGUUUACAUUCUCAUGUUGAUAGAUGAAGAAUGUUGGGUUUUGGUCAAGGGCUUAUAAAGCUGUUGAACUUUACAGGCAUGGAAAUCCACCAAGGCUGACUCAGGAAAUCUAAAUUUUGCUGCUUUCCCAGAUUUCUGAAUCCUGGUAGCAUGGAAAACUCCCUGGUAUUUGAGAUAUGCAAGUAGUCUCCCAGCAUAUGAUGUGAAUACUGACAUCUUAAAUGUUCCAAAAUUCCUGCUUUUGCCUCUCUUGCUGGUGAUACCAGUGGAAAAGAGCAUAUUCUACACAACUCCAGAAGUUAAGCUUUGUAUUUUAAUGAACUUGCAGUUCUUCCCUUGGAAAUAGAAGAUAUAAUACUGAAACAACUACAGAUUCUCAUGUGACUAUGAGAAUACAUGGCAGUCAAAUGAAACACUGU